CGCCUUUCCGCUGCCUACAAGAGCACCGGCCGCGGCAGCGCCCUUCGCAUCGAGCCGGGAGAUCUCGAAUCCGACUCAGAUUUCGAUUGCUUUCUCCCGCAGCGUCCGUGCUCUCUCUCUCUCUCUCUCUCUCCCCGUCCUGGUCAGCCCCCGCGAGCGACGCGUGUGUGCCGUUGGGUUUUGCUUGCCUUCGACGACGGCAUCUGUUGCCUCGCAUGGCUCCUGCCAAGCGUCCUCGUGUCUCUCUCCCUCGCCGCGGCGGCCAGCCAGAUCCGCACGCGCGGGACUUCCUCUCGUCGCUUGUCGUCUGGGCAUCGCCUUGUGCUUCUCCUUCGCUCUCUAAAUCCCGUGCUCUUGUAGUAGAGUAGCCCACUGCCCCCCAAAAUCACAAUUCACAAAUGGCUUCCCUUCCCUUCCCCAUCUCUCGAGCGGCCGCGGCGCGCCGGCGUCUCAGAUUGAUGCAAGGGGCGGUGACAAGCUAGAGGCAGCAACUGCAUAUCUUGCAAGGAACAUGGUUUUCGGACAAUACCGAUGAUUUUCUUGCAAGUUGUGCAGUUGUUGUCUCAAGCUUGCUGCCUCCCUUUGCCAGAACUACCAAGAGUAAAAGCACAGGUUAUGCUAUUAAUGAACCCAUAGAUACUAAAUUUAGAAACGUGUAUCGGUAACAAACAUGAUGCAUUAUUAAUUAAAGUCAUGUGACAUGAAGUAAUAUUUUGCAGCAUGAUAUAUACAGAGUAGAUAUUAGGUACAAGACUACGAGAAAAAAUGACACUUGUUUGUAAGGAAAUGCUGGCUGCUUGCCCAUUUUAGCAGACUGUUUCCACCACGCAGAACGUCAACAAACUCCAGAAAGUUGUAAUAAGGUGAGUGGAAAUUCUGAUAAGAACAUGUGCGUAUAGGUAAAUGAUUUAUUGUGAUUUUUAUUAUUUGAUCUUUAAAGGGUGCACUAAUAGCAUUUGUAAGUCCGUUCUGAUUCUUCUAUUAUGUGUUCAGGUUGCUCAAUAUUUACUCUGCGGUAAGCUUAAAGCUUUGGGUGUCAUUGGUCUUGAACUGUGUAUCCUUUUAACUUCAUUUGCUGUUAAGUGCGCUGUGAUUGACAAUUAGCAGAACGGGUUGACCAUAUUAUAGCUUCAUCCCACUUUCUCUGUUUUGCAAGGUCGGAACAGGCAUGGUUACAAAUGAGAGUUCAGUUGCAUUUGAGGUUUGAGCUAUCCUGCUAUAUCUUCAUCGAAGGUGGUUUCUGGUGUAUUCAGGAAUGCCCCGUUGAAGGCAUGGUAUUUGGAAUUUUUGGGCUGUCGUGCAACAGUACUAGAAUUUCUAAAUUUCACUGUCAUUUGCAGCCAAACCCACUACUGAGGAAGGAAGCGGCCAAGAGACACCUUGAAGUAUGAUUGCUGGUUAAGGCAUCUGUUCAAUUUUGGAUUUCUUGGUGGAACAUAAGAGUCCCAAACACAGUCCUGCUGUUGAUGGAAGAUGAGAGAUUUCAGUUAACAUGCAGUGGAAGAUAAUUCCAAAUUGGUAUGCGGUGCUGUUAUCCGUUGGAACUCCUAAUUAACUCUUUGACUUCACCGUCUUCGGAAAUCUAACCGGUGUUUCAAGCUGCCUUUUCUAGUUCAGCAACUUGUAAAUGAAGCAGCCUUUUCUAGUCAGCAACUUGUAAUUUUUGCUAUUAGAACUAUCUGAAAGAGAAAGCAUGUGUCUUUUGAGAUGUAGUUCCUUUUUUAUA